rnacentral:rRNA from 1 species
AUUGAACGCUGGCGGCAGGCCUAACACAUGCAAGUCGAACGAGUGGCGGACGGGUGAGUAAUGUCUGGGAAACUGCCCGAUGGAGGGGGAUAACUACUGGAACCGGUAGCUAAUACCGCGUACCAUCGGCUGUGCCCAGAUGGGAUUAGCUUGUAGGUGAGGUAACGGCUCACCUAGGCGACGAUCCCUAGCUGGUCUGCGAGGAUGACCAGCAAAACUGAAACUGAGACAAGGGCCAGAAUCCGACGUGAGGCAGCAGGGGGGAAGAGUGCACAAUGGGCGCAAGCCUGAUGCAGCCAUGCCGAGUGGAUGAAGAAGGUCUGAGGGUUGUAAAGUAUGUUCAGCGGGGAGGCGUUACCCGCAGAAGAAGCACCGGCGAACUCCGUGCCAGCAGCCGCGGUAAUUC